ACAGAGGCGCUCGUAGUUGAAAAGUCUACGUAUUUGAGUCGAGCAGCUUCACCAUUGGCUGUCUUUUCACACAUGACUUUUGCUGCACUUCUACUGUGAGAGAAUCUGAAACUGAA